GUGGGCGUAGCUCAGUUGGUAGAGCACUGGAUUGUGGCUCCAGUGGUCGGGAGUUCAAGCCUCCUCGCCCACCCCA
rnacentral:tRNA from 1 species